GCAAACUUGGUCAUUUAGAGGAAGUAAAAGUCGUAACAAGGUUUCCGUAGGUGAACCUGCGGAAGGAUCAUUACCGAGUUAGGGUUCUCUCCCGAGGCCCGACCUCCCAACCCUGUGUCUAAUAAACCUGUAUGUGUUGCUUCGGCGGACCGGCAGUCCCCUCACGGGGGUCCGUCGCCGGGGGAGAACGGUCUCACAGGCCGCCCCUGGAGAGUGUCCGCCGAUGGCCCAACCGAAAAAAAACUCCCAAACCCAAACUGUACCUAAAACUUCUGAAUCAGACCUUUUUGAUGCACCAAUCAAAAACAAAACUUUCAACAACGGAUCUCUUGGUUCUGGCAUCGAUGAAGAACGCAGC
rnacentral:misc_RNA from 1 species